rnacentral:rRNA from 1 species
GGAAAACGCGAUAAGUCGACAAACGUGGAGAGUACGGCCGCAAAGAUAAAGCUCAAAUGAAUUGACGGGGGGCCCGCACAAGCGGUGGAGCAUGUGGUUUAAUUCGAUGCAACGCAAAGAACCUUACCUGGCCUUGACAUCCACGGAAUUCGGCAGAGAUGCCUUAGUGCCUUCGGGAACCGUGAGACAGGUGCUGCAUGGCUGUCGUCAGCUCGUGUUGUGAAAUGUUGGGUUAAGUCCCGCAACGAGCGCAACCCUUAUCCUUUGUUACCAGCGCGUGAUGGCGGGAACUCAAAGGAGACUGCCGGUGACAAACCGGAGGAAGGUGGGGAUGACGUCAAGUCAUCAUGGCCCUUACGGCCAGGGCUACACACGUGCUACAAUGGCGCAUACAAAGAGAAGCGACCUCGCGAGAGCAAGCGGACCUCAUAAAGUGCGUCGUAGUCCGGAUCGGAGUCUGCAACUCGACUCCGUGAAGUCGGAAUCGCUAGUAAUCGUAGAUCAGAACGCUACGGUGAAUACGUUCCCGGGCCUUGUACACACCGCCCGUCACACCAUGGGAGUGGGUUGCAAAAGAAGUAGGUAGCUUAACCUCCGGGAGGGCGCUUACCACUUUGUGAUUCAUGACUGGGGUGAAGUCAUAACAAGGUAACC